CGUAAAAUGGCGACACAGAGCCGAUGGCAGGUGGUGAUCGGCUGCAUGCCCGCCCGCGCCCGCUCCCGCUCCCGCUCCCGCUCCAGCUCAGCCCGCCCGACAGGGAGAAAAUUCUCCCCUAUGAGAUUCCAUGCUGGGGUGGAGUAGGAGGAGAGAAUGGCCCUGGAGGACAGAGGGAAAAGGAGUGCAUGAUUCACAUAAGUACAACCCUAGUGAGGGAGCAAAUCAAUCGCAACAAGCAGCUACCUGAGCAUGGCAGAAGCGUAUAGUAUGAGGGGCCUCUGACACUGGGGAGGUUAUGAUUGAAGCACACCAGCUACUCCACAGGAACAGUCAACCAUCUGCCAUAUAAUACCAUUGCACACCACAAGGGUCAACUACUUUCUUUGACUUUUGAAAAACAUACUUAAUUUACCUUGUAUGACAAACUGCAGGACGAAUUAAAAGCAAUUUAAUUUUA